rnacentral:rRNA from 1 species
AGAGUUUGAUCCUGGCUCAGAUUGAACGCUGGCGGCAGGCUUAACACAUGCAAGUCGAGCGGUAGCACAGGAGAGCUUGCUCUCUGGGUGACGAGCGGCGGACGGGUGAGUAAUGUCUGGGAAACUGCCUGAUGGAGGGGGAUAACUACUGGAAACGGUAGCUAAUACCGCAUAACGUCGCAAGACCAAAGAGGGGGACCUUCGGGCCUCUUGCCAUCAGAUGUGCCCAGAUGGGAUUAGCUAGUAGGUGGGGUAAUGGCUCACCUAGGCGACGAUCCCUAGCUGGUCUGAGAGGAUGACCAGCCACACUGGAACUGAGACACGGUCCAGACUCCUACGGGAGGCAGCAGUGGGGAAUAUUGCACAAUGGGCGCAAGCCUGAUGCAGCCAUGCCGCGUGUGUGAAGAAGGCCUUCGGGUUGUAAAGCACUUUCAGCGAGGAGGAAGGUGGUGAGCUUAAUACGCUCAUCAAUUGACGUUACUCGCAGAAGAAGCACCGGCUAACUCCGUGCCAGCAGCCGCGGUAAUACGGAGGGUGCAAGCGUUAAUCGGAAUUACUGGGCGUAAAGCGCACGCAGGCGGUUUGUUAAGUCAGAUGUGAAAUCCCCGGGCUCAACCUGGGAACUGCAUUUGAAACUGGCAAGCUAGAGUCUCGUAGAGGGGGGUAGAAUUCCAGGUGUAGCGGUGAAAUGCGUAGAGAUCUGGAGGAAUACCGGUGGCGAAGGCGGCCCCCUGGACGAAGACUGACGCUCAGGUGCGAAAGCGUGGGGAGCAAACAGGAUUAGAUACCUGGUAGUCCACGCUGUAAACGAUGUCGAUUUGGAGGUUGUGCCCUUGAGGCGUGGCUUCCGGAGCUAACGCGUUAAAUCGACCGCCUGGGGAGUACGGCCGCAAGGUUAAAACUCAAAUGAAUUGACGGGGGCCCGCACAAGCGGUGGAGCAUGUGGUUUAAUUCGAUGCAACGCGAAGAACCUUACCUACUCUUGACAUCCAGAGAACUUUCCAGAGAUGGAUUGGUGCCUUCGGGAACUCUGAGACAGGUGCUGCAUGGCUGUCGUCAGCUCGUGUUGUGAAAUGUUGGGUUAAGUCCCGCAACGAGCGCAACCCUUAUCCUUUGUUGCCAGCGGUUCGGCCGGGAACUCAAAGGAGACUGCCAGUGAUAAACUGGAGGAAGGUGGGGAUGACGUCAAGUCAUCAUGGCCCUUACGAGUAGGGCUACACACGUGCUACAAUGGCAUAUACAAAGAGAAGCGACCUCGCGAGAGCAAGCGGACCUCAUAAAGUAUGUCGUAGUCCGGAUUGGAGUCUGCAACUCGACUCCAUGAAGUCGGAAUCGCUAGUAAUCGUAGAUCAGAAUGCUACGGUGAAUACGUUCCCGGGCCUUGUACACACCGCCCGUCACACCAUGGGAGUGGGUUGCAAAAGAAGUAGGUAGCUUAACCUUCGGGAGGGCGCUUACCACUUUGUGAUUCAUGACUGGGGUGAAGUCGUAACAAGGUAACCGUAGGGGAACCUGCGGCUGGAUCACCUCCUU